AGUUGUUGCAGUUAAAAAGCUCGUAGUUGGAUCUCGGGUGCUAGCGUAUGGUUCGCUUUACUGCUGUAACUAUACGUCUAGUCCUAAUUAAUCGGUUGGCCGAUUAUGUCCUUUAUUGGGUGUUUUCGGUAGCCGGUACGUUUACUUUGAGAAAAUUAGAGUGCUUAAAGCAGGCCUUACGCCUGAAUAAUGUUGCAUGGAAUAAUAGAAUAGGACCUCGGUUCUAUUUUGUUGGUUUUGUAGAGCAUUGAGGUAAUGAUUAAUAGGGACAGACGGGGGUAUUCGUAUUGCGGUGUUAGAGGUGAAAUUCUUGGAUCGCCGCAAGACGAACAACUGCGAAAGCAUUUGCCAAGAAUGUUUUCAUUAAUCAAGAACGAAAGUUGGAGGUUCGAAGACGAUUAGAUACCGUCCUAGUUCCAACCAUAAACGAUGCCAACUAGCGAUUAGCUGCUGUUAUUUAAACGACACAGCUAGCAGCUUCCGGGAAACCAAAGUUUUUGGGUUCCGGGGGAAGUAUGGUUGCAAAGCUGAAACUUAAAGGAAUUGACGGAAGGGCACCACCAGGAGUGGAGCCUGCGGCUUAAUUUGACUCAACACGGGAAAUCUCACCCGGCC
rnacentral:rRNA from 1 species